rnacentral:rRNA from 1 species
GUGGGGAAUAUUGGACAAUGGGCGCAAGCCUGAUCCAGCCAUACCGCGUGGGUGAAGAAGGCCUUCGGGUUGUAAAGCCCUUUUGUUGGGAAAGAAAUCCUGUCGGUUAAUACCUGGCGGGGAUGACGGUACCCAAAGAAUAAGCACCGGCUAACUUCGUGCCAGCAGCCGCGGUAAUACGAAGGGUGCAAGCGUUACUCGGAAUUACUGGGCGUAAAGCGUGCGUAGGUGGUGGUUUAAGUCCGUUGUGAAAGCCCUGGGCUCAACCUGGGAAUUGCAGUGGAUACUGGAUCACUAGAGUGUGGUAGAGGGAUGCGGAAUUUCUGGUGUAGCAGUGAAAUGCGUAGAGAUCAGAAGGAACAUCCGUGGCGAAGGCGGCAUCCUGGGCCAACACUGACACUGAGGCACGAAAGCGUGGGGAGCAAACAGGAUUAGAUACCCCUGUAUCC